GGGGUUGUGGCUCAGUGGCAGAGCACUUGCCUAGCAUGUGUGAGGUGCUGGGUUCGAUUCUCAGCACCUAUA
rnacentral:tRNA from 1 species